AGAGUUCUGAAGUGUACGUGUUAUUCCUUUAAUGUGUUGACCGAACAAAUUUUACUAUCUAGGGAUUCGUGAACUCCAGUGGAGGACACGCCCCAUCACGGGGAAGUCUGAAGCUGGAUAGCGAAACCCACCUGCACUUAAGAGAGCGGGUUCAAUACAGAUAGAGCACACGGCACCUGUCGGAGCUCUU
rfam:Aerococcus sanguinicola strain CCTG43001, complete genome.